CAGAGGAUAAAGUAAGAGUGACAAGAUGCCAACACAUUAUGACAGCUACUGUGCUGCCUGACCUAGAACAUUAUGCAUUUUCUAAAAGUGCAUAAAAAGCAAAUUUUAUUAUUGCUUCCAGCACAUCAACCUCACAUUUUUAGUUUUUAUUACCCAUAAUCCCACAGGUUCUGCUAAAACAUCAAACUAGAGUUUAUUAGUUAACAUUUUAAAAGGACACGAUUUUAAGAUGCU
rnacentral:lncRNA from 1 species